rnacentral:lncRNA from 1 species
CUCAGCAACUAUUUUUUGACAUAAAUUCCCAAACCUAUGUUUGUUAGAAGUCUUAUGACCGAUAACACUAGAUAAGCAUCAGGGUAUCUAAAAUGUCAUCCAUUAUUUGCAUAACAGUAAAAAUGACAAUAUCAUAGUUUAAUACAAACAAUAAAUUUUGUGAAGUGAUUUUCAUAGGAAUGUUCUGAUUUCGCAAUCCAGAGGAAAAAAUAAAUCCGUGACUCUAAAAGGUUGGACAACAAAAAAAAGGUCAUGAUCACUUAAACAUGAUAACAAAAGACAAGGCCCUAUGGGUCAUAUGUCAGACAGGCAGCAGUAAAAGAGUUAGAACUAUCUCAAAAACUUGAGCAUAUACCAUAAAACAUUUGGAAGUCAUGUAAGUUCCAAUAAAAUUAUUUUCAUCUCUAAGCACAUUAUAGGAGGCUGGACAGCAGAUACAUCAAGAUCUGGAUUUCAAAUCCCAGAAACGACCUCUAAGAUCCCUAUCAACCGCUCCCAGAUCUGAAAUUCCCAGUGAUUAAUCUCAGAUAUUCAUAUAAAAUAAAUAUCAAGUAUAGAAACAUGAAUUUGUAGUACAGAACACAAAACAGCCAGGUCUAAUCUUACUUCACAGAACAACCACAUUAAAAGGCAGUAAAAUUUUGCCAUAAAGCAAAACACAGGGAUUAACGAGACUAAUAUAUAUCAGCAAAGAUUCUUCAAUAGAUCUGAAACAAUUUCACUGAUGCACUCGGAGAACAAUUAGUAGGCAUUCAUCA